GGUAAUGUGGCUUAGUGGUAGAGCGCUUGCCUAGCAUGCAUGAAACUCUGGGUUUGAUUCCUAGGUACCA
rnacentral:tRNA from 1 species